AUGGUUAGCUACCCUGGGGACUGGGAUAGCGGCGGGAAACUGCCGGUAAUACCAGAUGAUAUCUUCGGAUCAAACGUGUAAAUCGGCCCUAGGAGGUGACCAUGUCCUAUCAGCUAGUUGGCGGUGUAAUGGACCACCAAGGCUAAGACGGGUAUGGGGCGUGAGAGCGUGCCCCCACUCACUGGGACUGAGACACUGCCCAGACACCUACGGGUGGCUGCAGUCGAGAAUCUUCGGCAAUGGGCGCAAGCCUGACCGAGCGACGCCGCGUGCGGGAUGAAGGCCUUCGGGUUGUAAACCGCUGUCGUAGGGGAGGAAGGUCUGGUGUAUAGCCAGGCUUGACCGAUCCUAGGAGGAAGGGCCGGCUAAUCUCGUGCCAGCAGCCGCGGUAAUACGAGAGGCCCAAACGUUAUUCGGAAUUACUGGGCUUAAAGAGUUCGUAGGCGGUAUUGCAAGUAGGGUGUGAAAGCCCUCGGCUCAACCGAGGAAUUGCGCUCUAAACUGCAGUACUU
rnacentral:rRNA from 1 species